GAUGAACGCUGGCGGCGUGCCUAAUACAUGCAAGUAGAACGCUGAAGCUUGGUGCUUGCACCGAGCGGAUGAGUUGCGAACGGGUGAGUAACGUGUAGGUAACCUGCCUCUUAGCGGGGGAUAACUAUUGGAAACGAUAGCUAAUACCGCAUAAAAGUCGACAUCGCAUGAUGUUGACUUGAAAGGUGCAAUUGCAUCACUAAGAGAUGGACCUGCGUUGUAUUAGCUAGUUGGUGAGGUAACGGCUCACCAAGGCGACGAUACAUAGCCGACCUGAGAGGGUGAUCGGCCACACUGGGACUGAGACACGGCCCAGACUCCUACGGGAGGCAGCAGUAGGGAAUCUUCGGCAAUGGGGGCAACCCUGACCGAGCAACGCCGCGUGAGUGAAGAAGGUUUUCGGAUCGUAAAGCUCUGUUGUAAGAGAAGAACGAGUGUGAGAGUGGAAAGUUCACACUGUGACGGUAACUUACCAGAAAGGGACGGCUAACUACGUGCCAGCAGCCGCGGUAAUACGUAGGUCCCGAGCGUUAUCCGGAUUUAUUGGGCGUAAAGCGAGCGCAGGCGGUUAGAUAAGUCUGAAGUUAAAGGCUGUGGCUUAACCAUAGUACGCUUUGGAAACUGUUUAACUUGAGUGCAGAAGGGGAGAGUGGAAUUCCAUGUGUAGCGGUGAAAUGCGUAGAUAUAUGGAGGAACACCGGUGGCGAAAGCGGCUCUCUGGUCUGUAACUGACGCUGAGGCUCGAAAGCGUGGGGAGCAAACAGG
rnacentral:rRNA from 1 species